rfam:Burkholderia rhizoxinica HKI 454 plasmid pBRH01, complete sequence
CCGGUUGUUUAUCAACCGUCCUCUACCGGGACAUGCGGAGCGGGUAACGGCUCAGUGCGAAGCGCUGGGGAUAACGUAGCCACCGGAUAACCGGCACGCCAAGCUGUGAGGCAAGACGGAAUCUGCCAGUACGAAGGCGCUGAGGAG